rnacentral:lncRNA from 1 species
AUGGACACAGAUAAUUGGGUCUCUUUAGUGCAUACUGAACUCGUUAAGGCCCCAUUGUUUUUUGAUCAGAAUGUUAAUAAGUUAUUAAAACAAGUAUGCUCUAAAGCUUAUGUUGACCCACCAUUAUAUGCUCUUGGGAAUCUAAGUCUUUCGAUAUAUAAUAAGUAUUCAAUUUAUGGUGCGGCUAAAUGUACUAGAGAUCUUUCUAGCCAAAAUUGUAUGAAGUGCCUUGAUGUUGCAAUUGAGAAACGUCUUAGUCAAAGUCAUGGAAGGAGAGGUGGGCAAGUUUAUUAUGGAAGUUGUUAUAUUAGAUUCGAACUUUACUCCUUUUAA